CCCUCACCUGCCUGUGCUACUAGGGGUGAAAAACAUCACUGUGGUUUUCCCCGCUGAGGAGCUUGCAUUUUGUCUGACCUACUUUGCAAAAGCAAAAAGAUUAGCAAUAAGAAGGCGGUCGAUCAACAAGCCCUCCUCACCGAAGCUGUCAAGGUCCUUGGGACAUCACGGUCCCCGGUCUUAGGCGGCAUCAGACUACGCAUCCCCGGAAUCAGAGCAGACUGAGAGCGCCUGCAAGGAAAGCUGAGUCUAAGCCGCCUCUUCUGUCUCUUUGCGAGGCACUGGGGCCCCCUUUUCUCCCCGCAAUUGCAGAUGUAACGCCUGAGAUGCAUGGACAGCUGUUCUACCUGUUCCCGGUAGAAGUGUAAGGAGAACACCAGUGCCUACCUGUGAGUCCCAGACCAGCUCCUGCCAACACUAAGGCAUAGCAGACAGUACCACUCAGCUCUUUGAUUUCGGGACUGCUUUUCCCUUUCUUGGGUAGAAGGCCAUAUGUUUCAUAAGGAAAUGGAUAGAUGUUAUUGUAAAUAAUCUUUUCGAGGAGGAAGCUCCAAUAGAAGGUGUAAGCAGAAAUCUCCAGGCUCCUAGACCCCUAAGUCCCCGGACAUUGCUGCGGAGUGAGGGAAGAGAGCGCAGCAUUCCUCUCGGGGUGGGAGCAGAAAGCCAGCUGCAGCGUCCUGGGACUGCGAAAGGGCGUGGCUGCCACCGAAGGUGCCACUCGCCAGGGUCUUGCUGGGCACAGGUUUGUCGUUUUUGCACCGCGUCUGGCCCAAGGGAGGAAGCCUGGGCAGGCAUAUGUCUGCAGCUCCAAGACCCCCCAACAGCCACUAUGGCGCCGCUAACAGCGCUGGGACCCAGAAACAUCGCACUUCCAGGAAAGAUCGGUGCUGCUCCAGAGAAAAGGCCGACUUGGUGCAAAGAGGCGCUGUGACAGAAAAACGGCGAUCGCGCGCUCCUCGCCAAAGUGCUAUCAGAACACCGGCUGGGCGCAAAUGACGGUGCUACAUCUGUGAAAUGUCCCUACAUCGGUGAAACAGCCGGAAGCCGAAACAAGCGGUGCUAGGACCGAGAAAGCGACAGCGCGAAGGAGGACCUGCUGUCGGGUCCAGGGAAGGAGAUCGUCCUGCUCCUCCCAGGAGCGCUGCUGCGAGGGAGGAAGCGCCCGCUCAGCGCUGCCGGGGAAAGUGGGGGUGAGGAGGGCGCGGGCGCGGGGAGCGGGGCCGCCCGCCAGGACCGCACACCCGUCCCUGGGGGACUGAGACCCAGCCGCCCUCCUCCGCUGGUGAGCAAGGCAG
rnacentral:lncRNA from 1 species